UCGACGGAGAGUUUGAUCCUGGCUCAGGACGAACGCUGGCGGCGUGCUUAACACAUGCAAGUCGAACGGUGAAGCCCUUCGGGGUGGAUCAGUGGCGAACGGGUGAGUAACACGUGAGCAACCUGCCCCUGGCUCUGGGACAACCACUGGAAACGGUGGCUAAUACCGGAUACGACCCGCCUCGGCAUCGAGUGUGGGUGGAAAGUUUUUCGGCUGGGGAUGGGCUCGCGGCCUAUCAGCUUGUUGGUGGGGUGAUGGCCUACCAAGGCGACGACGGGUAGCCGGCCUGAGAGGGCGACCGGCCACACUGGGACUGAGACACGGCCCAGACUCCUACGGGAGGCAGCAGUGGGGAAUAUUGCACAAUGGGCGAAAGCCUGAUGCAGCGACGCCGCGUGAGGGAUGACGGCCUUCGGGUUGUAAACCUCUUUCAGCUCCGAAGAAGCGCAAGUGACGGUAGGAGCAGAAGAAGCACCGGCUAACUACGUGCCAGCAGCCGCGGUAAUACGUAGGGUGCAAGCGUUGUCCGGAAUUAUUGGGCGUAAAGAGCUCGUAGGCGGUGUGUCGCGUCUGCUGUGAAAACUCAGGGCUCAACUCUGAGCUUGCAGUGGGUACGGGCACACUUGAGUGCUGUAGGGGAGACUGGAAUUCCUGGUGUAGCGGUGAAAUGCGCAGAUAUCAGGAGGAACACCGGUGGCGAAGGCGGGUCUCUGGGCAGUUACUGACGCUGAGGAGCGAAAGCAUGGGGAGCGAACAGGAUUAGAUACCCUGGUAGUCCAUGCCGUAAACGUUGGGCGCUAGGUGUGGGGUCCAUUCCACGGAUUCCGUGCCGCAGCUAACGCAUUAAGCGCCCCGCCUGGGGAGUACGGCCGCAAGGCUAAAACUCAAAGGAAUUGACGGGGGCCCGCACAAGCGGCGGAGCAUGCGGAUUAAUUCGAUGCAACGCGAAGAACCUUACCAAGGCUUGACAUGCGCGGUGGAAUCCCAGAGAUGGGGUGUCAUUUAGUUGGUCGCGUACAGGUGGUGCAUGGUUGUCGUCAGCUCGUGUCGUGAGAUGUUGGGUUAAGUCCCGCAACGAGCGCAACCCUCGUUCCAUGUUGCCAGCACGUAGGGUGGGGACUCAUGGGAGACUGCCGGGGUCAACUCGGAGGAAGGUGGGGAUGACGUCAAAUCAUCAUGCCCCUUAUGUCUUGG
rnacentral:rRNA from 1 species